UUGCAAUUUCCUGUCUCGGAUAUAAACUUUCCGAUUCGUUAGACUUAAUAAAGCUGAUCUACGCGUCUUCGUAACAAUAAUCGUUAACUAAUUUUACGCCGUAAACUAUAAUAAUUAUUAAUGUCAAUCGAGUAUAAACGAUACGCGUAUGGUAUGUUUUGUAAAUUCUAAAACAAUAUUAUAAUUUAUUUCGCAUCUACAAUUCCGUAUUACAUGCACU